rnacentral:lncRNA from 1 species
CACAGUAAGCAGUCCCAAAUAAGGCUUUAAUUAUGUGGAUAGAGGAAGGCAAAUCUGUUUAUAGAACUGACCCAGGUUGGUGAGGCAAUGAGCUGAAGGGCUUACGGAGCCCAAAUGGUACGGUACAUUAAUGUUGCAUUAAUGUUUCAGCAAUAGUUGUCUCAUAUUAAGCAUAUCAUUGUUGAUUAAAUAACUUACCUAUAUAUGCAGAGGGAAGGGAAGGAAAUGAAAAAUUAAGUUCUCAUGUAGAAGUUAAGGGAAGGAAAGAUUAGUGUUGUAAAACAUAAACUUUUUGUUAUUGGUUUGCCAGAAUCUCUUACAAAGGGGUUGGGUUUCAAUGAGAUUAGUUCUGAAAAGAGUACUUACAAUAUCUAAGGAUAAUAUUUGAGCUCUCAGGUUGAAAGAAGUUCUAAACUCUGCUGUACAAAUGAACAAAUAAAUCAUCGAAAGAUGAAUGCUCCCCUUCCAACUUUGUUCUUUGAGGAGGGAUGCGUGCAUUUUUGUUUCUGGAUCAGGGACUGUAGUUAUAAGGCCUAUAAUUGCUAUUAUGUGAAUAAGACUGUUGAAAUUUUGUUUGUCAUUUUUAGAGGUCCUAAUCAUAUUUUAUGUUAGCAGAGUUAUUUAUUGUUUGCGCGGAUUGCAGUGGCUUUAUGGCCACCUUCAAAAUAGAAAAUACAAACUGUUGCAAUGAUCUUCAUAUCAAAUGUUGGCGGCAUUAUCUAAAGGAUAUAAAGGUUGAGCGCUUCAAGCCCUUUCGAGGUUGUGAGGAUAAUGUAGCUGAAUUGAUGGAUCGAUGGCUUUUGAUUCCUGAAGGAGAAUUAUGGUUGCGUCUUGAUUGGUGCUUUUCUGAGCUUAACGAGAAGUUGUGACCGGAGUAGCUAUUAUUCCUAUUCAUUCCACCAACUUAUUUGAUUUCUGUCUUGUAAAAUGCAAGUGUUUUUUUUGGAACAUUUGGAGACUUGGCAGCUGGUCAAAUAUGCAGCUAAUUGGUUUGCUAGACUCAGUUUCUGACGUUUACUAUAUUUAUAUACUAUCCAUUUUGCUGAAAUCACAUUACUUAGUUUUCCUUCUACGGUUGUACAUAUGUAGAGUUGAGUAGGGUUCAUAUUAUCUGGAUUGAUAGAAAGCAGGACAUUUGUGAGAAUCUGCAGUGCAUGUCUUGCAUACAAUUUGCAAGGAGCAUGGCUGAAACAAGGCUGAGAGUGUAUUGAACUUACCAGAUACUUUACCAGAUAGUUUCCUAUGGGAUCCAGCUUGCCCCAAUCAUUAAUUGGUGAGUUUAGAUUAUGUGAUGCCAAUGACAUCCUAGGAUUUGAGCCAACCAAAAAAAGUCUUGACUAAAG